rnacentral:rRNA from 1 species
UACAGAGGGGGCAAGCGUUGUUCGGAAUUACUGGGCGUAAAGGGCGCGUAGGCGGCCUGCUAAGUCGAACGUGAAAUCCCUGGGCUCAACCCAGGAACUGCGUCCGAUACUGGUUGGCUUGAAUCCGGGAGAGGGAUGUGGAAUUCCAGGUGUAGCGGUGAAAUGCGUAGAUAUCUGGAGGAACACCGGUGGCGAAGGCGACAUCCUGGACCGGUAUUGACGCUGAGGCACGAAGGCGUGGGUAGCAAACAGG